AAAUUGAAGAGUUUGAUCAUGGCUCAGAUUGAACGCUGGCGGCAGGCCUAACACAUGCAAGUCGAACGGUAACAGGAAGAAGCUUGCUUCUUUGCUGACGAGUGGCGGACGGGUGAGUAAUGUCUGGGAAACUGCCUGAUGGAGGGGGAUAACUACUGGAAACGGUAGCUAAUACCGCAUAACGUCGCAAGACCAAAGAGGGGGACCUUCGGGCCUCUUGCCAUCGGAUGUGCCCAGAUGGGAUUAGCUAGUAGGUGGGGUAACGGCUCACCUAGGCGACGAUCCCUAGCUGGUCUGAGAGGAUGACCAGCCACACUGGAACUGAGACACGGUCCAGACUCCUACGGGAGGCAGCAGUGGGGAAUAUUGCACAAUGGGCGCAAGCCUGAUGCAGCCAUGCCGCGUGUAUGAAGAAGGCCUUCGGGUUGUAAAGUACUUUCAGCGGGGAGGAAGGGAGUAAAGUUAAUACCUUUGCUCAUUGACGUUACCCGCAGAAGAAGCACCGGCUAACUCCGUGCCAGCAGCCGCGGUAAUACGGAGGGUGCAAGCGUUAAUCGGAAUUACUGGGCGUAAAGCGCACGCAGGCGGUUUGUUAAGUCAGAUGUGAAAUCCCCGGGCUCAACCUGGGAACUGCAUCUGAUACUGGCAAGCUUGAGUCUCGUAGAGGGGGGUAGAAUUCCAGGUGUAGCGGUGAAAUGCGUAGAGAUCUGGAGGAAUACCGGUGGCGAAGGCGGCCCCCUGGACGAAGACUGACGCUCAGGUGCGAAAGCGUGGGGAGCAAACAGGAUUAGAUACCCUGGUAGUCCACGCCGUAAACGAUGUCGACUUGGAGGUUGUGCCCUUGAGGCGUGGCUUCCGGAGCUAACGCGUUAAGUCGACCGCCUGGGGAGUACGGCCGCAAGGUUAAAACUCAAAUGAAUUGACGGGGGCCCGCACAAGCGGUGGAGCAUGUGGUUUAAUUCGAUGCAACGCGAAGAACCUUACCUGGUCUUGACAUCCACGGAAGUUUUCAGAGAUGAGAAUGUGCCUUCGGGAACCGUGAGACAGGUGCUGCAUGGCUGUCGUCAGCUCGUGUUGUGAAAUGUUGGGUUAAGUCCCGCAACGAGCGCAACCCUUAUCCUUUGUUGCCAGCGGUCCGGCCGGGAACUCAAAGGAGACUGCCAGUGAUAAACUGGAGGAAGGUGGGGAUGACGUCAAGUCAUCAUGGCCCUUACGACCAGGGCUACACACGUGCUACAAUGGCGCAUACAAAGAGAAGCGACCUCGCGAGAGCAAGCGGACCUCAUAAAGUGCGUCGUAGUCCGGAUUGGAGUCUGCAACUCGACUCCAUGAAGUCGGAAUCGCUAGUAAUCGUGGAUCAGAAUGCCACGGUGAAUACGUUCCCGGGCCUUGUACACACCGCCCGUCACACCAUGGGAGUGGGUUGCAAAAGAAGUAGGUAGCUUAACCUUCGGGAGGGCGCUUACCACUUUGUGAUUCAUGACUGGGGUGAAGUCGUAACAAGGUAACCGUAGGGGAACCUGCGGUUGGAUCACCUCCUUACCUUAAAGAA
rnacentral:rRNA from 4 species